rnacentral:rRNA from 1 species
UAGAGUUUGAUCCUGGCUCAGGACGAACGCUGGCGGCGUGCUUAACACAUGCAAGUCGAACGGGAUCCAUGGUGUCGCAAGACACCGGAACAUCGAGUGGCGAACGGGUGAGUAACACGUGAGGAACCUACCCCGGACUCAGGGAUAACAGCCGGAAACGGCUGCUAAUACCUGAUGCCGUCGGAGCAUCACAUGGUGCACUGACGAAAGAAUCUCGGUUCGGGAGGGCCUCGCGGCCUAUCAGCUUGUUGGUGGGGUAACGGCCUACCAAGGCAUCGACGGGUAGCUGGUCUGAGAGGAUGAUCAGCCACACUGGGACUGAGACACGGCCCAGACUCCUACGGGAGGCAGCAGUGGGGAAUCUUGCGCAAUGGGCGAAAGCCUGACGCAGCAACGCCGCGUGCGGGAAGAAGGCCUUAGGGUUGUAAACCGCUUUCAGUAGGAACGAAAAUGACGGUACCUGCAGAAGAAGGUGCGGCCAACUACGUGCCAGCAGCCGCGGUGACACGUAGGCACCAAGCGUUGUCCGGAUUUAUUGGGCGUAAAGAGCUCGUAGGCGGUUCAGUAAGUCGGGUGUGAAAACUCUGGGCUUAACCCAGAGCCGCCACCCGAUACUGCUGUGACUUGAGUUCGGUAGGGGAGCAGGGAAUUCCUAGUGUAGCGGUGAAAUGCGCAGAUAUUAGAGGAACACCGGUGGCGAAGGCGCUGCUCUGGGCCGAUACUGACGCUGAGGAGCGAAAGCGUGGGUAGCACACAGGAUUAGAUACCCUGGUAGUCCACGCCGUAUACGUUGGGCACUAGGUGUGGGUUCCAACCACGGAAUCCGCGCCGUCGCUAACGCAUUAAGUGCCCCGCCUGGGGAGUACGGCGGCAACGCUAAAA